rnacentral:rRNA from 1 species
CACGUAGGGGGCGAGCGUUGUCCGGAAUUAUUGGGCGUAAAGAGCUCGUAGGCGGUUUGUCGCGUCUGCUGUGAAAACCUAAGGCUCAACCUUGGGCUUGCAGUGGGUACGGGCAGACUAGAGUGCGGUAGGGGUGACUGGAAUUCCUGGUGUAGCGGUGGAAUGCGCAGAUAUCUGGAGGAACACCGGUGGCGAAGGCGGCGUCCUG